rnacentral:rRNA from 1 species
CUUGGUCAUUUAGAGGAAGUAAAAGUCGUAACAAGGUUUCCGUAGGUGAACCUGCGGAAGGAUCAUUAUCGUACAAAAUGUGUGAGGCAUGCAAGGGCUGUCGCUGACUUUUGACGCAAAAGUUGUGCACGCCGGAGUGUGUCCUCUCACAUAAAAUCCAUCUCACCCUUUUGUGCACCACCGCGUGGGCACCCCUUCGGGAUCGAACUGAUCCAGGAGAGGGGGCUUGCGUUUUCACACAAACCCCUUUUUAAAAAGUGUAGAAUGACCUCAUCUUUGCGAUAACACGCAAUCAAUACAACUUUCAACAACGGAUCUCUUGGCUCUCGCAUCGAUGAAGAACGCAGCGAAAUGCGAUACGUAAUGUGAAUUGCAGAUUUUCAGUGAAUCAUCGAAUCUUUGAACGCACCUUGCGCUCCUUGGUAUUCCGAGGAGCAUGCCUGUUUGAGUGUCAUUAAAUUCUCAACUCCAAGGGUUUCACGACCUUUCGGAGAUUGGACUUGGAGGUGCUGGCCGCAUAUUGGUCGGCUCCUCUCAAAUGCAUCAGCGGAAUUCAACCUUUGGCUUCCGGAUGUCAGUGUGAUAAUCAUGUUGCGCUGUCGUUUGAUCCCUCAGAGUCCGCUUAUAAUGGUCUUCGGACAAAAUCAUCAUCAAAUUUGACCUCAAAUCAGGUAGGACUACCCGCUGAACUUAAGCAUAUCAAUAAGCGGAGGA